AUUGAACGCUGGCGGCAUGCUUUACACAUGCAAGUCGAACGGUAACAGGCCGCAAGGUGCUGACGAGUGGCGAACGGGUGAGUAAUGCAUCGGAACGUGCCCAGUCGUGGGGGAUAACGCAGCGAAAGCUGCGCUAAUACCGCAUACGAUCUCUGGAUGAAAGCGGGGGACCGAAAGGCCUCGCGCGAUUGGAGCGGCCGAUGUCAGAUUAGGUAGUUGGUGGGGUAAAGGCCCACCAAGCCAACGAUCUGUAGCCGGUCUGAGAGGACGACCAGCCCCACUGGGACUGAGACACGGCCCAGACUCCUACGGGAGGCAGCAGUGGGGAAUUUUGGACAAUGGGCGCAAGCCUGAUCCAGCAAUGCCGCGUGCAGGAAGAAGGCCUUCGGGUUGUAAACUGCUUUUGUACGGAACGAAACGGUCCGGGCUAAUACCCUGGGCUAAUGACGGUACCGUAAGAAUAAGCACCGGCUAACUACGUGCCAGCCGCCGCCGUAAUAC
rnacentral:rRNA from 1 species